GGCGGACGGGUUAGUAACGCGUGGGAACGUGCCCAAUGGUGCGGGAUAGCCUCUGGUUAACGGAGAUUAAUACCGCAUGCACCCUUCGGGGGAAAGAUUUAUCGCCAUUGGAUCGGCCCGCGUUGGAUUAGGUAGUUGGUGGGGUAAUGGCCUACCAAGCCUACGAUCCAUAGCUGGUUUGAGAGGAUGAUCAGCAACACUGGGACUGAGACACGGCCCAGACUCCUACGGGAGGCAGCAGUGGGGAAUCAUAGACAAUGGGGGCAACCCUGAUCUUGCCAUGCCGCGUGAGCGAUGAAGGCCUUAGGGUUGUAAAGCUCUUUCGCCAGGGAAGAUAAUGACGGUACCUGGUAAAGAAACCCCGGCUAACUCCGUGCCAGCAGCCGCGGUAAUACGGAGGGGGUUAGCGUUGUUCGGAAUUACUGGGCGUAAAGCGCACGUAGGCGGGCUGGAAAGUUGGGGGUGAAAUCCCGGGGCUCAACCCCGGAACUGCCUCCAAAACUAUCAGCCUGGAGUCCGAGAGAGGUGAGUGGAACUCCGAGUGUAGAGGUGAAAUUCGUAGAUAUUCGGAAGAACACCAGUGGCGAAGCGGCUCACUGGCUCGGUACUGACCUGAAGUGCGAAAGUGUGGGGGAGCAAACAGGAUUAGAUACCCUGGUAGUCCACACCGUAAACGAUGAAUGCCAGACGUCCGGCAACAUGCUGUUCGGUGUCACACCUAACGGAUUAGCAUUCCGCCUGGGGAGUACGGCCGCAAGGUUAAACUCAAAGGAAUUGACGGGGGCCCCACAAGCGGUG
rnacentral:rRNA from 1 species